rnacentral:rRNA from 1 species
AACGAACGCUGGCGGCAUGCCUAACACAUGCAAGUCGAACGAGACCUUCGGGUCUAGUGGCGCACGGGUGCGUAACGCGUGGGAAUCUGCCCUUAGGUACGGAAUAACUCAGGGAAACUUGAGCUAAUACCGUAUAAUGACUUCGGUCCAAAGAUUUAUCGCCUAAGGAUGAGCCCGCGUCGGAUUAGCUAGUUGGUGAGGUAAAAGCUCACCAAGGCGACGAUCCGUAGCUGGCUGAGAGGAUGAUCAGCCACACUGGGACUGAGACACGGCCCAGACUCCUACGGGA